rnacentral:rRNA from 1 species
GACGAACGCUGGCGGCGUGCUUAACACAUGCAAGUCGAACGAAGAGCGAUGGAAGCUUGCUUCUAUCAAUCUUAGUGGCGAACGGGUGAGUAACGCGUAAUCAACCUGCCCUUCAGAGGGGGACAACAGUUGGAAACGACUGCUAAUACCGCAUACGAUCCAAUCUCGGCAUCGGGACUGGAUGAAAGGUGGCCUCUAUUUAUAAGCUAUCACUGAAGGAGGGGAUUGCGUCUGAUUAGCUAGUUGGGGGGGUAACGGCCCACCAAGGCAAUGAUCAGUAGCCGACUGGAGAGAGGGAUCGCCCACAUGGGACCGGAACCAGGGCCAAGACUCCUACGGGAGGCAGCAGUAGGGAACUUCCGGCAAGGGGCGAAAGCUUGACGGAGCAAGGCGGCGUGGGUGUGGCGGGCCUUGGGAUCGUAAAACCCGUUUAUCAGGGAAAAACAAAUGUGUGCGAAAAGAGGGAGGUUUUGACGGUACCGGAAUAGAAAGCCACGGCUAACUACGUG